rnacentral:rRNA from 1 species
AGCAGCCGCGGUAAUUCCAGCUCCAAUAGCGUAUAUUAAAGUUGUUGCAAGUUAAAAAGCUCGUAGUUGAAUUUCGGGAUCAGUAUGUUGGUCGUGCUUCGGUACGUACUGUCAUUACUGGUUUCUCCCUUCUGAAGAACCUUGAUGUCAUUAAUUUGGUGUCUUGGGGAAUCAGGACUGUUACUUUGAAAAAAAUUAGAGUGUUUAAAGCAGGCAUACGCUUGAAUACAUUAGCAUGGAAUAAUGAAAUAGGACGUUUGAUUCUAUUUUGUUGGUUUCUAGGAUCGACGUAAUGAUUAAUAGGGAUAGUUGGGGGCAUUAGUAUUCAAUUGUCAGAGGUGAAAUUCUUGGAUUUAUUGAAGACUAACUACUGCGAAAGCAUUUGCCAAGGAUGUUUUCAAUUAAUCUAAGAACGAAAGUUAGGGGAUCGAAGACGAUCAGAUACCGUCGUAGUCUUAACCAUAAACUAUGCCGACUAGGGAUCGGAUGAUGUUAUUUUUAAUGACUCAUUCGGCGUACC